AAUACCGCAUGAGACCACACUGGGACAUCCCAGAGGGGUCAAAGGAGCAAUCCGGUGAAGGGUGGGCUCGCGUCCGAUUAGAUAGUUGGUGAGGUAACGGCCCACCAAGUCGACGAUCGGUAGCCGACCUGAGAGGGUGAUCGGCCACAUUGGGACUGAGACACGGCCCAAACUCCUACGGGAGGCAGCAGUGGGGAAUAUUGGGCAAUGGGGGAAACCCUGACCCAGCAACGCCGCGUGAGGGAAGAAGGUUUUCGGAUCGUAAACCUCUGUCCUUGGUGAAGAGGAAGAGACGGUAGCCAAGGAGGAAGCCCCGGCUAACUACGUGCCAGCAGCCGCGGUAAUACGUAGGGGGCGAGCGUUGUCCGGAAUGAUUGGGCGUAAAGGGCGCGUAGGCGGCCCGGUAAGUCUGAAGUGAAAGUCCUGCUUUCAAGGUGGGAAUUGCUUUGGAUACUGUCGGGCUUGAGUGCAGGAGAGGUAAGUGGAAUUCCCAGUGUAGCGGUGAAAUGCGUAGAGAUUGGGAGGAACACCAGUGGCGAAGGCGACUUACUGGACUGUAACUGACGCUGAGGCGCGAAAG
rnacentral:rRNA from 1 species